rnacentral:rRNA from 1 species
UGGAGGGCAAGUCUGGUGCCAGCAGCCGCGGUAAUUCCAGCUCCAAUAGCGUAUAUUAAAGUUGUUGCAGUUAAAAAGCUCGUAGUUGAAUUUCGGGGUUCUACUGUUGGUCGGGCAAUUGUCUGUACUGGCAUGUGGAAUUUCUACCUUCUGGGGAACCAUCAUGUUAUUAAUUUAGCGUGGUGGGAAACCAGGACCUUUACCUUGAAAAAAUUAGAGUGUUCAAAGCAGGCUUACGUCUGAAUACAUUAGCAUGGAAUAAUAAAAUAGGACGGUGGUCCUGUUUUGUUGGUUUCUGAAUCACCGUAAUGAUUAAUAGGGAUAGUUGGGGGCAUUAGUAUUCAAUUGUCAGAGGUGAAAUUCUUGGAUUUAUUGAAGACUAACUUCUGCGAAAGCAUUUGCCAAGGAUGUUUUCAUUAAUCAAGAACGAAAGUUAGGGGAUCGAAGACGAUCAGAUACCGUCGUAGUCUUAACCAUAAACUAUGCCGACUAGGGAUCGGACGAUGUUAAUUUUUCUUGACUCGUUCGGCGCCUUACGGGAAACCAAAGUGUUUGGGUUC